rnacentral:rRNA from 1 species
UUUACAAUGAAGAGUUUGAUCCUGGCUCAGGAUGAACGCUAGCUACAGGCUUAACACAUGCAAGUCGAGGGGCAGCAUUUUAGUUUGCUUGCAAACUGAAGAUGGCGACCGGCGCACGGGUGAGUAACACGUAUCCAACCUGCCGAUAACUCCGGGAUAGCCUUUCGAAAGAAAGAUUAAUACCGGAUGGCAUACGAAUAUCGCAUGAUAUUUUUAUUAAAGAAUUUCGGUUAUCGAUGGGGAUGCGUUCCAUUAGUUUGUUGGCGGGGUAACGGCCCACCAAGACUACGAUGGAUAGGGGUUCUGAGAGGAAGGUCCCCCACAUUGGAACUGAGACACGGUCCAAACUCCUACGGGAGGCAGCAGUGAGGAAUAUUGGUCAAUGGGCGCGAGCCUGAACCAGCCAAGUAGCGUGAAGGAUGAAGGCUCUAUGGGUCGUAAACUUCUUUUAUAUGGGAAUAAAGUUUUCCACGUGUGGAAUUUUGUAUGUACCAUAUGAAUAAGGAUCGGCUAACUCCGUGCCAGCAGCCGCGGUAAUACGGAGGAUCCGAGCGUUAUCCGGAUUUAUUGGGUUUAAAGGGAGCGUAGGUGGAUUGUUAAGUCAGUUGUGAAAGUUUGCGGCUCAACCGUAAAAUUGCAGUUGAAACUGGGAGUCUUGAGUACAGUAGAGGUGGGCGGAAUUCGUGGUGUAGCGGUGAAAUGCUUAGAUAUCACGAAGAACUCCGAUUGCGAAGGCAGCUCACUAGACUGUCACUGACACUGAUGCUCGAAAGUGUGGGUAUCAAACAGGAUUAGAUACCCUGGUAGUCCACACAGUAAACGAUGAAUACUCGCUGUUUGCGAUAUACAGUAAGCGGCCAAGCGAAAGCAUUAAGUAUUCCACCUGGGGAGUACGCCGGCAACGGUGAAACUCAAAGGAAUUGACGGGGGCCCGCACAAGCGGAGGAACAUGUGGUUUAAUUCGAUGAUACGCGAGGAACCUUACCCGGGCUUAAAUUGCAACAGAAUAUAUUGGAAACAGUAUAGCCGUAAGGCUGUUGUGAAGGUGCUGCAUGGUUGUCGUCAGCUCGUGCCGUGAGGUGUCGGCUUAAGUGCCAUAACGAGCGCAACCCUUAUCUUUAGUUACUAACAGGUUAUGCUGAGGACUCUAGAGAGACUGCCGUCGUAAGAUGUGAGGAAGGUGGGGAUGACGUCAAAUCAGCACGGCCCUUACGUCCGGGGCUACACACGUGUUACAAUGGGGGGUACAGAAGGCGGCUACCUGGUGACAGGAUGCUAAUCCCAAAAACCUCUCUCAGUUCGGAUCGAAGUCUGCAACCCGACUUCGUGAAGCUGGAUUCGCUAGUAAUCGCGCAUCAGCCAUGGCGCGGUGAAUACGUUCCCGGGCCUUGUACACACCGCCCGUCAAGCCAUGAAAGCCGGGGGUACCUGAAGUACGUAACCGCAAGGAGCGUCCUAGGGUAAAACUGGUAAUUGGGGCUAAGUCGUAACAAGGUAGCCGUACCGGAAGGUGCGGCUGGAACACCUCCUUUCUG